rnacentral:lncRNA from 1 species
UCAGACCCAUAAGUUAGUUUUGAGAGGUUUCUUCAGAUGAGAAAUAUGUACAAGUGAAACUGCAACUUUCUGUAUGGUAUGGUAUGUUAUGGUAUGGUGUGGGUGGUGAAAUCAGUACCAUUCCGCCAAGAUGGAAGACAAAGGCAAAGCAUAGCGCCGCUGGGAUGCCGACAAGGUAGUAUGCACUGAGAUUGACACAAGCUCCAAUCCUUUGCAGGCCACAGCCCCUAACGACACCUGGAAUAUCAAGUAUAUAUACCACACGCUGCAAUCAGUAUCUUGAGAGUAAUGUUCACCGAGAUGCUACAUAUCGCUCAUCAAUGAUGCUCAUCGAAAUGAUACGAGGCAAGAAGAUAGACUAGAGUAGAAAUUCAGGAAAUGGUCUGCAAGUACUUGGAACUUGUGUUAUUUGGUGCAUCAUCUAUAUUUACCUGAAAGAACACAUUGCAUAUCGUCGAAAAUGAUCGACACGGAAAGAAGCGGCAUCAUUCUUGCAAUGUACUCCACCACCUCCUUCUCAUUGCUGUAUGCAUACCCCCAUAGAUUGCGCACCGAGAUCAUAAUAAGUCCUAACGUCACACCUGUCAUGAGACCCAGAACCAUGGUCACACGAGUAGCCAGACGGGCAGCUUCAGGUCGCCCAGCACCAAGCUCGUUUGAAACACGGGUGCUACAAUGACAAGAUACACGGUUUAAUUGCCAAAGUGAUUGUGCGAUAAAGUUGUAGUGCAGCCAUGGCAAAAGGUUAUGAGGCUGAGUUGUUCAGUCGUACCUUAUGGCUGCCCCAAGCCCGAAGGGGAUCAUGAAUGUUAAUGAAGCCGUGUUUAAGCUGCAAGCAGAUCCACAUUUCCCAUCAGAACAGGGCAUACAGAAUGUGAAAUACUCCAUGAAAAAUGCAACUCACCAAAUGGACAACACCGAUGCCUCGAGCUUAGGAUUUGCGAGAAGUCCGGAGAGAAGUACCAGCAGCUCAAACGACCACCACUCUAAGCUGUGCACAUGUAGGAUCAGGUUCAGUCGAAGAUGGAACGCGGAAAAAAAUCCACCUCCAAAUCUGAGGGGCACAAACUUAAACUCACCAAACCAUCAGUGCAGAUGGCAGGGCAAGCUUCAUGAAGCUGACGAUGUCGUGAAACGCCUCCUUUGAGAGCCCUGUCCAGGUGCUCUUGCAGGAUGGAGAGACCCUGAUGUAGAGAGCCAAGAUUGACACAUUGGCCAGGUACGAGACAGCAUUGGCCAGGGCAGCGCCCUUGUUGCCCAGCCCAAGCUUGUACACCAGCAACCAGCACACAAGCACGUGGCUCAGCGCCGUCACGCCUGCGCUCGCCAUCACCGGGAGUACGAUGCUUUGUGUCUGGAGGAAUCGGACGUGGCACUGCAGCAGUCCGUAAGCGAACAGUGCCGGAAUCAUCCACCGGAUGUAGCUCCCUGCCCCCAUGGCAAUCUCUGGGUCCUGGCCGAAGAGCAGGAGGAUCUGCCCGGUGUACGCCCAGAGCACCGCAACCACAACACUCACCAGAGUGAGCACGAGGAUCGCCCUCUGCUUGUAGAUGCCGAGCUGAUGGUACCGUUUUGCCCCGAAGGCUUGACCACACAGUGUGUCCAAGCUGCUCGCCAUGCCAGCCUAAGAUGAUCAUCAACAGAUACAAAGAAAAAACCAUUCAGGUAAUCAGGUCGAUGUCAGUUGUUCAUCCAUGAGGAUCAAAACAUGUAGGAGAUGAAUUGACAUACCAUCAAGCUGAAGCCGGUGACAUUCGCAAAGGAGGUGGCGAUGGAGGCACUCGAGAGGGCGAGCUCGCCGAGAUGGCCGACAAACAUGACCGAUAUCAUCUGCACGACGUUCUGCAGCAGGCAUCCGGCGAUGAGGGGCCCGGCGAGGUAGAGCUGCUUCUUAACCUCAGUCACCACCAAGCUCUCCUUUGGCCCUCCUGUCUCCUCGGUGUCGCUUCUGCCCCCAACAAGGGGCUCCUCCAUGGCUGGCAACAUACUUGAAACUUGAAAGCUCUGGCUCUGAAGAUGGUGGGUGAGGUGAGGGCGUAUUUAUCACGUAUGUACCAAUAAUCAACCUCAUCAAUGCUGUAUAGGCCCGCCACUGGAGGAUUAAUUCAGUAAGGAAGCCACGAGGAAACAGAGGAACUCGCUUGGCAGCCAAGUUGAACUGAACGUGCCCCUGAACCAGUCAUUUUCAGCAUGCCUGGGUCAAGUGGAGUACAGAAUCUCAUGUGAUGUGAGACAAACGCGGCAGCUUGGCAGCCAAGUUCAAGAUAUCUGACAUAAUAAACUAUCUGACGAGCAAGAUUGAAUGGAACAGUUAACAGCACAUGCUCGAUUAUGGCCGGAGCCAGAGCCUAUUAUAGUCAAAAGUUGGAAAGCUACAGGCGUUGAUGAUUGCACUAUUAUAGUCAAAAGUUGGAAGCUCUCGUCGUCAUGUGUCAUAUCUGGCCCAUUCUUCCAAAAGAGUGAAGGAAAACAUGUCUUCCAAAUUUGUGUAGAAACUUCAUAGGGCUAUUUUUUUUUUUUUGUAGGGCUAUUUUUAGGAAGAAUGAAGUGCAAAAGAAAUCACUGCACCAAUGUAACGACAUAGAAAAAUGCACAAAAAGUACAACAAAUAGUCAUCUAAGAUAGGGAGCAAAUUUACAGAAAUCCAAAUCUGAAAUGCAAUGCAAGAGAAGAAGAAACAAAGAGUUGACAAAGAAUGUCAUAUAUAAAAUGCACAAGAAGUAGAACAAAUAAUGAUCUAAGAUAGGGAGCAAAUGUAGAGAAGUCCAAAUCUGAAACGUAAUGCAAGAGAAGAAGAAAUAAAGACCUGACAGAAUGGGCCAAAGGAACUUCUGAAGUCUAAAGUCCAGAUCUGAAAUCUGACGUGGUAAGUAUUUCUCCAUGCACCAUAAGAAAGUUGGAUCCAUGUCUCAAAUUUAUGAUCUGCUACACUUCCACAAGGCUUAACUGGAAUUUAGAAACUAAAUGGGAACGACCAAAACAGUUGAAUGUCAAUAUACAAAAGUAUGUGGCAGAAGCAAAGGCGAAAGUUCCUACUCUCAUUCUGAAUCAAUUGCAGUUUGUGUCUCUUGAGAAACAUGCAUUUUAACUGAUAAAAGCACACACCAGCAAGAAAAGUAUUAUCAUAACAAUAUUCAGCUGUUGAUCCCGCUUUCCACUGCAUCAACAACAAAUGAAAUCAGAAAAUAUACAUCAUUGUAGUGGAAAAAAAACACUGCGGUCUAGCAUCUCAAGGAAAAAGAAGCAACAUUUAAGGAUACAUGUAAAUAUGCUAGAGCAGAAAGAAUACAAGGAAUCAGUUGAUACACUUGAGGAAACAAAGGCUAUAAGGAUCAAAAUGUUGUCUAGCUUCAAGAUUGUAAGGCUAUUUACAGCCUACGUCACAUCAACAUGAUCUGUCCAGAUGUAAAGAGUCUGUCUUGAACAACAUUGUACCGCGUAUGCAGUUUAUAAUUCUUAUGGAAUUUAAAAAUUAAGUAAAUUUGAAUUAGCAAGCCAGGAUCAAAUUCCAAAAUUAACUACUCUAUCAACUAUACAAUUCAAGACUGGACUUUGUUUUCGUAAACAUAACCGUAAAGUAAGUCAUUCCUCUUCACUUUGUUUUCGUAGAAACUGGGAACUGCCAUUGCACUGUUUUUUUACUAACAUCAGUGCAUCUAUUCUUUUCACUGCACUCUUCCUAGAUGCCCACUCCCUGCAGAUUACCAUGUCCAUCGGUAGAAAGAAAUUAAUGUAACAUCAGAGAUCACAAAUAACAAGAGAAAAAUAGCAUGGGAGAAGAGAGGGAGAGCAAGAUCAUUGACCAGAGAGGGCAUACAUUCAGACUUGCAAUAUAUUUUGGGAUGCAGGGUGGCAAAUCAGGACAAGGUGGACAAGGUGCACCUGCAGAGGUCUCGCCUCGCAUCUGGUCAUCUCUGUUCUCUGGCCGUCAGCUCUCUCCCUGGAACUGGUCCAUCUCGAGCUAGGUGGCGGCAGUGUCAGAUUGAGAGAGAUGGCCGAGUGAGAAGAAGAGCUAGGGAUUUGGCAGGAUUUGGGUGAAUUGGGGAUUUUGACGGAGAACCGACGGCCAUUUUUGCGGAAAAAAAACAAAACAAUAACCUAAAGGGCCGCAUUGAAUAAAACGAGUCCCUCCUGUACGAUUUUUCCUAGCCGACAAAAUUCUGACAGUGUGUCCCACACUGAGUCAGCAAGCCAAGUAGGCCCAUUACGGCUGGAAACGGGGACUGACCCAUUUGCUCAUGAAACAAACCAAAGUGACCAUUUUUACACAUUUUGGGACGUGUGGCCAAUGUGCUCAUCCCGCGAGAGUUCAAUGAUGAAUGGUGCGUUUAUCUCACGGACUUUCCAGUAAACACCACAUUUUUGCUUUAUUGAUUUAUUCCCAUACCGUAUCAAGUGAGUGGCAUGCAUUUGCCUGUAAAAACAUCCAUCCCAUCUCAUGCCUUCGACAAAAACCACCAAAACAGAUCAUUUCGUCGGGUGAUGUUUCCAUAGAGGAAGCGCCAUGUUGGUGACAUGGAGACGAAGCCUUGACCAAUUCUAAAUUCUUUAACUCUAAAUUCUUAACGAGUUCCUUAUCUCCUUUGCCCAACCAGCAUCCUGGUCCUGGCCAAGAGCAAUUAUGCAUCAUGUUCCAUGUUCAUGUCGUCAUGUCUAGAGGCAGAGACGAACUGAAAACUCUGUCCGUUGCCUUGAGAGCCUAGGGAGGAGAAAUGGAAGAUGAUGAGCCACACGCUAUAAGAAUUCGAGACACCAAGAAGCCAACCGACGAAAUAAUGCGUAAUGCGUGGCAGAGGCUUUGGUUUGAUUUGCCUUACCUCUUUAUCCCAGUUGGUGCGCAUGGUAAUGCCCAGCAGCAGCAGCAUCUGUACCACUAUCCCGCAGAUUAUUCCGAACCACAGCCCCUGGAGUUCAUACCAUUACAUAUGUUUUGAGAGGUUUCUUCACAUGAGAAUGAAAUAGAGGUGAAACUGCAACUUUCUGUAUGCAUGGUAUGGGUGGUAAAAUCAGUACCAUGCCGCCAAGAUGGUAGACAAGGCAAAGCAUAGCGCCGCUGGAAUGCCGACAAGGUAGUAUGCACUGAGAUUGACACAAGCACCAACCCUUUGCAAGCC